CUCUAUCUACGAGUAGCCUGGUGACAGGUCGCCCGUUGACAUGUCCUUUGAGGAAUAGGGCUUUGAGAUGUUGUCAUUUUUCAUCCUCGGGUUUCUCAAAAGUGGCUGUCAUUGGCUCCAAAGCCAAUUGCGCCAUUUACUCCUCCAUCCUUUUCGCGUCAUCCCGAUCGGCGUGAGCCAUGAACUCCAUUGGCAAGAUGAACACCAUGCUGACGUCAGCUGCUGAUUCCUGAUUGUUGUCUUCCUCAUUGGUCC
rnacentral:lncRNA from 1 species